CAAAUGUCAUCUCAAAAAUGGUAAAUAGUAACAUCACUACUUUAAUUUCCAUCCAUUCAGGAAGAUCAAUAAACCCUGAGAACUCGUCAACUUCAGACAGGUACAGAAAAGACAAACAGGGGCAGCCAGCCUUCACCGUGAGCUUUGGCAAGCUGUGGAAACUGCAUCUCUUGACAAAUGAGUGGGAGAUGGAGCCAGGUGUUUGGCAGCAGCAGAGUGUUCAGGUGUAACUGUGCCGGUGACGGGACAUGACGAGCAGCCGCAGAUGAAGGAUGAGGCGUGGAGGAUUUUGGGAAGAGGGGCACCCCUCGACCUGCUCCCUCAAGAACACCCCCACUGAUCGA